AGGGAGCUUGCUCCCGGGUGGCGAGUGGCGCACGGGUGAGUAAUACAUCGGAACGUGUCCUGUUGUGGGGGAUAACUGCUCGAAAGGGUGGCUAAUACCGCAUGAGACCUGAGGGUGAAAGCGGGGGAUCGCAAGACCUCGCGCAAUUGGAGCGGCCGAUGCCCGAUUAGCUAGUUGGUGAGGUAAAGGCUCACCAAGGCGACGAUCGGUAGCUGGUCUGAGAGGACGACCAGCCACACUGGGACUGAGACACGGCCCAGACUCC
rnacentral:rRNA from 1 species